rnacentral:rRNA from 1 species
GACGUAGGGCGCGAGCGUUGUCCGGAUUUAUUGGGCGUAAAGCGCUCGCAGGUGGUUCGAUGCGUCGUGCGUGAAAGCCCCCGGCUCAACUGGGGAGUGUCGUGCGAUACGGUCGAACUGGAGGCCAGUAGGGGGAUGCGGAAUUCCGGGUGUAGUGGUGGAAUGCGUAGAGAUCCGGAGGAACACCAGCGGCGAAGGCGGCAUCCUGGACUGGUCCUGACACUCAUGAGCGAAAGCGUGGGGAGCGAUCCGG